GAUGAACGCUGGCGGCGUGCCUAAUACAUGCAAGUCGAGCGAACGGACGAGAAGCUUGCUUCUCUGAUGUUAGCGGCGGACGGGUGAGUAACACGUGGAUAACAAACUUCUAAGUCUGGGAUAACAUCGGGAAACCGGAGCUAAUACUGCAGAAUAUUUUGAACCGCUUGGUUCAAAAGUGAAAGAAGGUUUUGCUGUCACUUAUAGAUGGAUCCGCGCUGCAUUAGCUAGUUGGUAAGGUAACGGCUUACCAAGGCAACGAUGCCUAGCCGACCUGAGAGGAUGAUCGGCCACACUGGAACUGAGACACGGUCCAGACUCCUACGGGAGGCAGCAGUAGGGAAUAUUCCGCAAUGGGCGAAAGCCUGACGGAGCAACGCCGCGUGGGUGAUGAAGGUCUUCGGAUCGUAAAGCUCUGUUAUUGGGAAAGAACAUAUGUUGAAGUAUCUGUGCACAUCUUGACGGUACCUAAACAAAAAGCCACGGCUAACUACGUG
rnacentral:rRNA from 1 species